UUUUAUAAAAUAUUUAUAUUUUACAGUUUAUAAUUGUUAUUAAGUAACGCUAUACGACAAAUCCAUGAGACAAUUGUUAAAAAACUGAAGUUUUAAU
rnacentral:sRNA from 1 species